rnacentral:rRNA from 1 species
AUGCUGGGCACCUUCGGGUACUUCGCGCCCGAGUACGCCAUCGUCGGCAAGGCGUCGCUCAAGUCGGACGUGUUCAGCUUCGGCGUGGUGGUGCUGGAGCUCAUCACGGGCCGGCAGCCGGUG